AGUGUGUUGCAGCUGCAGUUUAAUGUUGAUAACUGUAACAUAAUGGACUUGGGAUGAUAAAAUCCCAAGGUGGAUUUUUUAUUGGAUACACUGUUAUAUCAGUGACAACAAAAGAGGGAGACUUAGGAGUAAUUAUUUUGGAUGACUUAAAGAGAAGCAGACAAUGCGAUAAAGCAUCAGAAAAAGCAAGCACAUUCAGGAAGAUAGAGGUUGUUCUACCACUUUACAGAUCUCUGGUCAAACCUCACCUAGAGUAUGGCAUACAGCUCUGGAGACUCCAUCUCCAGAAGGAUGUUAACUCAUUGGUAAUAGUUCAGAGGAGGGAUAGAAAAUGGUAAGUGGUUUGCAGGCUAAAAAUGAUUAAGACUAAGAGGUCUUAAUAUGCAUAGUUUACAGGAAAGAA